rnacentral:rRNA from 1 species
CCAUAUGUCAUGGGAUCUGGAUCGACCCAUGGCCGAAAGCUCCGGCGCUUAAGGAUCGCUCUGCGGCUUAUCAGGUCGGAUUGGGUGUAACGUACCCCCUAGCCGACGACGAGUAUGGGCCUUGAGAGAGGGAGCCCAGAGUUGGAUUCUGAGACACGAAUCCAGGCCCUACGGGGCGCAGCAGUCGCGAAAACUUCACACUGGGGGAAACCCCGAUGAGGGAAUUCCUAGUGCCAGGGCUUUUUGUCCUGGCUUUUCUCCAGCGUAGAUUACUGGAGGAAUAAGGGCUGGGUAAGACGGGUGCCAGCCGCCGCGGUAAUACCUGCAGCCCGAGUGGUGGUCGAUUUUAUUGAGUCUAAAACGUUCGUAGCCGGUCCGGUAAAUCCCUGGGUAAAUCGGGAAGCUCAACUUCCCGAAUUCCGGGGAGACUGCCGGACUUGGGACCGGGAGAGGCUAGAGGUACUUCUGGGGUAGGGGUAAAAUCCUGUAAUCCUGGAAGGACCACCGGUGGCGAAGGCGUCUAGCUAGAACGGAUCCGACGGUGAGGGACGAAGCCCUGGGUCGCAAACGGGAUUAGAUACCCCGGUAGUCCAGGGUGUAAACGCUGCAGACUUGGUGUUGGGGGCCCUUCGGGGGCGUCCAGUGCCGGAGAGAAGUUGUUAAGUCUGCUACUUGGGGAGUACGUCCGCAAGGAUGAAACUUAAAGGAAUUGGCGGGGGAGCACCGCAACGGGAGGAGCGUGCGGUUUAAUUGGAUUCAACACCGGAAAACUCACCAAGGGCGACUGUUACAUGAAGGCCAGGCCGACGACCUUGCCGGAUUUUCAGAGAGGUGGUGCAUGGCCGUCGUCAGUUCGUACCGUAAGGCGUUCUCUUAAGUGAGAUAACGAACGAGACCCUCACCGAUAAUUGCUACUUCUUCCUCCGGGGAGGAGGCACAUUAUCGGGACCGCUGGCGCUAAGCCAGAGGAAGGAGAGGUCAACGGUAGGUCAGUAUGCCCCGAAUCUCUUGGGCUACAUGCGCGCUACAAAGGGCGGGACAAUGGGCUCCGACGCCGAGAGGCGGAGGCAAUCCCGAAACCCGUCCGUAGUUCGGAU